GAUGAACGCUAGCGGCAGGCCUAACACAUGCAAGUCGAGGGGCAGCAUGGCGUAGCGAUACGCUGAUGGCGACCGGCGCACGGGUGCGUAACGCGUAUGCAACCUGUCCGGCGCAGGGGGGUAGCCCGUCGAAAGGCGGGGUAAUCCCGCAUGAACCGGUAUUCCCGCAUGGGGGUGCCGGCAAAGUGGAGACGCGGGGCCGGAGGGGCAUGCGUGCCAUUAGCUGGCUGGUGGGGUAACGGCCCACCAGGGCGAUGAUGGCUAGGGGGUCUGAGAGGAUGGUCCCCCACACUGGUACUGAGACACGGACCAGACUCCUACGGGAGGCAGCAGUGAGGAAUAUUGGUCAAUGGGCGGAAGCCUGAACCAGCCAUGCCGCGUGCAGGAAGGAGGCCCUACG
rnacentral:rRNA from 1 species